GCCACUGUAGCUCAGUCGGUAGAGCAGUGGACUGAAAAUCCAUGUGUCAGCAGUUCGAUUCUGCUCGGUGGCA
rnacentral:tRNA from 1 species